GCCAUUGAUGAAACAUCCUUAUUAUGGAGGUGUAGUUUGGUCCAAGUCCCUGAUUAUCAGGGAGAACCUACUUGGAUUGGCUUCAUUCAGAUGACAUUAAUGGAUAUAUCUGAGGC